UGCAUGAAGUCGGAAUUGCUAGUAAUCGCGGAUCAGAAUGCCGCGGUGAAUACGUUCCCGGGCCUUGUACACACCGCCCGUCACACCAUGAGAGCCGGUAACACCCGAAGUCAGGAGCCUAACCGCAAGGGGGCGCGGCCGAAGGUGGGUUCGAUAAUUGGGGUGAAGUCGUAACAAGGUAUC
rnacentral:rRNA from 1 species